rnacentral:rRNA from 1 species
AUGAAGCUUCACUAUCAUCCCGGCCAAGCCAAUGUCGUAGCGGACGCUUUGAGCCAAAAGAGUUAUGUUAACACCCUCGUGAGCGGAGGAAUACCAAAGGAGUUAGCAGAGGAUCUCAGGGAACUACGUCUGGAGAUUGUUCCUAGAGGUUUUGUUGCAGCAAUGGAAGUUCAUUCUACAUUGUUGGGAAAAAUUCGAGAAGCUCAGAAGGAUGAAAAGGAGAUUGUCGAGAUAAAGGAGAAGAUGAGUGAAGGGAAAGCCAAAGGUUUUCGUGAGGAUGAGCAUGACACCUUAUGGUUUGAGGAUCGGAUAUAUGUGCCCAAUAAUAUGGAGAUCAGGAAGUUGAUACUAUAG